rnacentral:siRNA from 1 species
UUAGCAAUGGCACUCAACAGU